rnacentral:lncRNA from 1 species
UGAUGCCAUAUGAAUAAAAUAUAGAAAACUUCUCUCCUUCGGUGCCUCUCAUUACCACUCUUAUCAAGUAUGCAAAAAUAUGCAAGCUUUCCGCCCAAUGGAGUUUACAUGCUUGCUUGCUCUAAUGGCGUUAUGUUUGAGCCAGUUUUACAGUGCCCUGCAAUGUGAUUAAGAGAAGGUUAAUAGAGCCACGCACUCAAGCAUAAUUUCUCACAAGUGCAAAUCAAAUUACAGUGGCUUGCACUUCAGAAAAAGGGGAAAAAAAUUACAGUGCCUAGUGACGAGAAGGGAAGAAGGGCCACAUGAGAUGACGCAUUUCUUUUUUUUGGUACAACGGCGGCUCAUACUUUACGGGUGUGGAUACGGCUAACAAAAUCUGAAAAUAACAAAGCAGAAAGAGACUCCGGCACUGUGUUCUUGCUCGCACGCAUUUGCAAAUCAAAUUCCAGCACAUUUGUAUAAGAGGGGACAUAAGGAACCAGUAGCAACCUUGGUAUCCCUCACACUCUUUCCAGCAAUUGCAUGACUUCUGAUUCAUUUGGGAAAGAAGGAAUUGCUCCUUUC